rfam:Oryza glumipatula chromosome 3, whole genome shotgun sequence.
AAUAAGCGUUGCCAUGAGUUUCCGUGUCCAACUUUGACCAUCCAUUUUAUUUAAAUUUUUUUAUAAUUAAUUUUUUUAUUGUUAUUAGAUUAUAAAAUAUAAAUAGUAUUGAUGCUUUUUAGGUUUUUUUUAAAAAAAAUUAAAUAAGACGAACAGUCAAAGUUGAACAUGAAAAUUCAUGGCUGCGCUUAUU